rnacentral:rRNA from 1 species
UGGGGGAUAUUGCACAAUGGGCGAAAGCCUGAUGCAGCGACGCCGCGUGGGGGAUGAAGGCCUUCGGGUUGUAAACUUCUUUUGCUCUGAACAAGGCAUGCUAAUGGGUGUGUUGAGUGUAGGGGUUGAUUAGCGCCGGCUAACUACGUGCCAGCAGCCGCGGUAAUACGUAGGGCGCGAGCGUUGUCCGGAAUUAUUGGGCGUAAAGGGCUUGUAGGUGGCUGGUUGCGUCUGUCGUGAAAGCUCAUGGCUUAACUGUGGGUUUGCGGUGGGUACGGGCUGGCUUGAGUGCAGUAGGGGAGGCUGGAAUUCCUGGUGUAGCGGUGGAAUGCGCAGAUAUCAGGAGGAAUACCGGUGGCGAAGGCGGCCCCCUGGACAAAGACUGACGCUCAGGUGCGAAAGCGUGGGGAGCAAACAGG